rnacentral:rRNA from 1 species
GGCCGCGGGAAUUCGAUUAGAGUUUGAUCAUGGCUCAGGAUGAACGCUGGCGGUAUGCCUAACACAUGCAAGUCGUACGAGAGUUUUUAACUCUAGUGGCGGACGGGUGAGUAACACGUGAGAAUUUGCCUUUAGGAGGGGGACAACAAUUGGAAACGAAUGCUAAUACCCCAUAUGCUUUCGAGUAAAAUGGAUUUUAUCUGCCUAAAGAGAAGCUCGCGGCUGAUUAGCUUGUUGGUAAGGUAAAAGCUUACCAAGGCGACGAUCAGUAUCUGGUUUGAGAGGACGAUCAGACACACUGGAACUGAGACACGGUCCAGACUCCUACGGGAGGCAGCAGUGGGGAAUUUUCCGCAAUGGGCGAAAGCCUGACGGAGCAAUACCGCGUGAGGGAAGACUGCCUAUGGGUUGUAAACCUCUUUUUUCAGGGAGGAAUAAAAUGACGUGUACCUGAAGAAUAAGCAUCGGCUAACUCCGUGCCAGCAGCCGCGGUAAGACGGAGGAUGCAAGUGUUAUCCGGAAUCACUGGGCGUAAAGCGUCUGUAGGUGGU